AAGCUCAAAAACUAAAAACCUUAAAAACACUUUAUUCAUUUAAUUAAAAUUCUGAUGAGAAGAAAUUAUCUUUUCAAAAGAAGGCCAACUAAUUUGUCUAGUAAUAGUGUUAAGUGAUUAUUAUUCAUUUAAAUGCAAGCAAGAAAUGUCCAAGGUCAAGUUUCUUCCUGUUCAGAGAAGCAUAAUAUUUGGCAGGCUAACAUGCCAUCCUUCCCAAUCACUUUGUACUUUCCUUUGUUUUAUUCUGCACAAGUAGCAUUUUUUUCAUGGACUAUCUGUGGGUUACAAAACAUAUGUAAUUGAGAAGAAGACAUUUAAAAGAUACUCCUUCUCUCAGAAGAUCAAAUCUUAAAUAUAUAAGCUGUUGAAAUGGAAGUUUUCUUAGUGAUAAUUAUAUCCAGCUUUUCUCUAAUGAAUAUUUCCUUUCCAUAUCUGAAUAUGUUGAACCACACUUUGCUUGGAAACCUUCUAAAAGUUUUUUAACAUUUAUUCAUUUUUGAGGAACAGAGGAGAGACAGAGCACGAGUGGAGGAUGGGCAGAGAGAGAAGGAAUCUGAUGCAAGCUCCAUGUUCCAAGCUCCAAACUGUCAGCACAGAGCCUGAUAUGGGGCUCGAACCCACAAACCAUGAGAUCAUGACCUGAGCUGAAGUCAGACACUUAAGUGACUGAGCCACCCAGGCACACCUGCUUGGAAAUCUUCUAAUGAAAGGAAACCUAUAUUUCAAGCAUAGAACUCCAUCUACUGCUUUUCAUCAUGGUGUACUGAGAAGACCAGUCAGCAGGGAAAACCGUGGACUCACCCAAGCUCUGUCAUGAGGCAUGCCCAGAUUUUUUCCCUGAGUUCCAGUCCUCAAUGCCCCAUGGACAAACACAUCUCUCACCUUCAUCUCUUUUUUGAGCCUCACCAGUCCCCAAAUCAAAGUUUUCUCCAGCCUAGGUCCUUUCCACAAACAGAGCUGGAGACAAAAGCUUGUAAACAGAUAGUUUAUUUUAAGAAAUUAUUCCAAAGAAGAGGAGUGGGAAACUGGGAAAACAAGAGAAAGAAUAAAUUUAAUACCUAAGGUAAAUUAUUGAGGAGUUUUAUUACUGCAGUGAGUAGCUGGGGGUCAAUUCCUCUAAGAAGCCUUAUAGAAUACACUUCAGAACUGUCUACCUGAGACACAGAAUCAGGAACUUUUAUCCACUAGUCCCCAUCUAAGAACUGGUCAAGGACUGCACCACUGCAUGUUCAUUCCUCCCACUUCCAAGUCUGGUAUGCAUCAGAAUGGCUAACAGGCAUCUCAAAUAUUGGCGCCAGAGAAACAUGGGACCAGACAAAGAAAGGUAUGUGAUACAGAUGAAUGAGAUGUCAGGUUACAUCACAAUGACUGGAGGAAACUGGUGGGCCACAAGAAUGUGAGGUGGAGCACAAAAUAUCUAUGAAUCUCACCUCCCGUUUUGUUAGGUUAUUAAAACUAAU